CUCGAUGCUGCGCUCCCUGGCUGCAAGUUGCACAUAAAUGCAAUGGCGUUCGAGGAACCUGCAAGGGGCUGCAUUCGGAGGCAGAGGUGUCCAACCACAGUACAGAGAUGUGGGGACUGAUUGCUGGAUCCUGGAUGAUAUUUCUGAGCUCGUAACCCAGGGUUGCCUCCA